rnacentral:rRNA from 1 species
GAUGAACGCUGGCGGCGUGCCUAAUACAUGCAAGUCGAGCGAACAGACGAGGAGCUUGCUCCUCUGACGUUAGCGGCGGACGGGUGAGUAACACGUGGAUAACCUACCUAUAAGACUGGGAUAACUUCGGGAAACCGGAGCUAAUACCGGAUAAUAUAUUGAACCGCAUGGUUCAAUAGUGAAAGACGGUGUUGCUGUCACUUAUAGAUGGAUCCGCGCCGCAUUAGCUAGUUGGUAAGGUAACGGCUUACCAAGGCAACGAUGCGUAGCCGACCUGAGAGGGUGAUCGGCCACACUGGAACUGAGACACGGUCCAGACUCCUACGGGAGGCAGCAGUAGGGAAUCUUCCGCAAUGGGCGAAAGCCUGACGGAGCAACGCCGCGUGAGUGAUGAAGGUCUUCGGAUCGUAAAACUCUGUUAUUAGGGAAGAACAAAUGUGUAAGUAACUAUGCACGUCUUGACGGUACCUAAUAAGAAAGCCACGGCUAACUACGUG